rnacentral:rRNA from 1 species
UACGAAGGGUGCAAGCGUUACUCGGAAUUACUGGGCGUAAAGCGUGCGUAGGUGGUGAGUUAGGUCUGAUGUGAAAUCCCCGGGCUCAACCUGGGAAUGGCAUUGGAUACUGGCUCGCUAGAGUGCGGUAGAGGGUGGUGGAAUUCCCGGUGUAGCAGUGAAAUGCGUAGAGAUCGGGAGGAACAUCUGUGGCGAAGGCGGCCACCUGGACCAACACUGACACUGAGGCACGAAAGCGUGGGGAGCAAACAGG